GGGUUCGUAGCUCAGGUGGUUAGAGCGCUGCCCUGAUAAGGCAGAGGUCAGAAGUUCAACUCUUCUCGGACCCACCA
rnacentral:tRNA from 1 species